rnacentral:rRNA from 1 species
AUGCCGUCGUCUCAGGUUCCGAAGUUUUCAUCUAUGCACGAUGAGUUGAGGGAUGGCCGUGGUGUUGAGGGUGCUGGUUAUGUCCCCCCUCGCCCUAGUAAUGCUAGUACUUCACAGAGGCAGGGUUUUGGUAUUGAUGUUGCUAUUUCAGCGUUGGAGCGCGCUGAGCAUAUUUUAUGUAAUGUGUGUUCUGAGCUGCAAAAGGUCCCAACAACAGUUGAGCGUCUGAGCUGUAUCAAUGGUAUCCUUCCUGAAGGUCAUCAAUUUAAUGAUGAGGAAGCUGUUGACUACAUUGAGAUGGAGAGAAUUUUAAUUGGUGAUAUGCGUGACGGUGCCGCUGAUCUAGUUCAGAGCUCGGUUCGUCUGUUGAACAACAUGAAGCGUUUCAGAACUAUGCAAGACUCUCGCUGCAAGCCAUAUGAAGAAAGUGCAAAUGUUGUUAUCAAGCAGAUUGAGCAGGAUGAGGCUGCUGCCACCGACAACAUGGCUGGUGAUGGUACUAAGGCUAAUGUUUCUGAUCACGAAACGAAUGAUGUUGGCUUGGAGCGUCCUGAUGUUGAUAUUGAGCAGGAUGAGGCUGCUGCCACUGACAGCAGGGCUGAUGAUGGUACUGAGGCUAAUGUUUCUGAUCACCAUACGAACGAUGUUGGCUUGGAGCACCCUGUUGUUGAUGAGACCAGUCAUAAUGUUGAGGCUGUUGUCGACCAUGGAGUUAAUGAUCCAUCUACUGAUUAA